rnacentral:rRNA from 1 species
UCGAUUUUGGAGGGCAAGUCUGGUGCCAGCAGCCGCGGGUAWUUCCAGCUCCAAUAGYGUAUAUUWAAKUUGUUGCAGUUAAAAAGCUCRUAGUUGAAUUUSGGRWUUAAUUUAUCGGUCGUGCUUUUGUACGWACUGGUAUUAUUGAUUCCUACCUUCUGACGAACCAUGAUGUCAUUAAUUUGGUGUCUUGGGGAAUCAGGACUGUUACUUUGAAAAAAUUAGAGUGUUUAAAGCAGGCUCACGCUUGAAUACAUUAGCAUGGAAUAACGAAAUAGGACGUUUGAUUCUAUUUUGUUGGUUUMUAGGAUYGACGUAAUGAUUAAUAGGGAUAGUUGGGGGCAUUAGUAUUCAAUUGUCAGAGGUGAAAUUCUUGGAUUUAUUGAAGACUAAYUACUGCGAAAGCAUUUGCCAAKGAUKUUUUCAUUAAUCAAGAACGAAAGUUAGGGGAUCGAAGACGAUCAGAUACCGUCGUAGUCUCAACCAUAWACUAUGCCGACUAGGGAUCGGAUGAUGUUAAUUUUUUAAUGACUCAUUCGGCGCCUUACWRGAAAC